rnacentral:rRNA from 1 species
AUUGAACGCUGGCGGCAGGCCUAACACAUGCAAGUCGAGCGGAUGAAGGGAGCUUGCUCCUGGAUUCAGCGGCGGACGGGUGAGUAAUGCCUAGGAAUCUGCCUGGUAGUGGGGGAUAACGUCCGGAAACGGGCGCUAAUACCGCAUACGUCCUGAGGGAGAAAGUGGGGGAUCUUCGGACCUCACGCUAUCAGAUGAGCCUAGGUCGGAUUAGCUAGUUGGUGGGGUAAAGGCCUACCAAGGCGACGAUCCGUAACUGGUCUGAGAGGAUGAUCAGUCACACUGGAACUGAGACACGGUCCAGACUCCUACGGGAGGCAGCACUGGGGAAUAUUGGACAAUGGGCGAAAGCCUGAUCCAGCCAUGCCGCGUGUGUGAAGAAGGUCUUCGGAUUGUAAAGCACUUUAAGUUGGGAGGAAGAGCAGUAAGUUAAUACCUUGCUGUUUUGACGUUACCAACAGAAUAAGCACCGGCUAACUUCGUG